rnacentral:rRNA from 1 species
UACAGAGGGGGCAAGCGUUAUUCGGAAUUAUUGGGCGUAAAGGGUGCGUAGGCGGGUCUUUAAGUCAGGGGUGAAAUCCUGGAGCUCAACUCCAGAACUGCCUUUGAUACUGAGGAUCUUGAGUUCGGGAGAGGUGAGUGGAACUGCGAGUGUAGAGGUGAAAUUCGUAGAUAUUCGCAAGAACACCAGUGGCGAAGGCGGGACUCUGGGCCGAUACUGACGCUGAGGAGCGAAAGCGUGGGGAGCGAACAGG